rnacentral:siRNA from 1 species
GAUCUAGUGAAGUGACCUCUUGAU